rnacentral:rRNA from 1 species
AUUUCCCUACGGGGGGCAGCAGUGGGGAAUAUUGGGCAAUGGGCGCAAGCCUGACCCAGCAACGCCGCGUGAAGGAAGAAGGCUUUCGGGUUGUAAACUUCUUUUGACAGGGAAGAGCAGAAGACGGUACCUGUCGAAUAAGCCACGGCUAACUACGUGCCAGCAGCCGCGGUAAUACGUAGGUGGCAAGCGUUGUCCGGAUUUACUGGGUGUAAAGGGCGUGUAGCCGGGCUUACAAGUCAGAUGUGAAAUCCGGGGGCUAAACCCCCGCACUGCAUUUGAACCUGUAGGCCUUGAG